rnacentral:rRNA from 1 species
CAGCAGCCGCGGUAAUACGUAGGUGGCAAGCGUUGUCCGGAAUUAUUGGGCGUAAAGGGCUCGUAGGCGGUUUCUUAAGUCUGAUGUGAAAGCCCCCGGCUCAACCGGGGAGGGUCAUUGGAAACUGGGAAACUUGAGUACAGAAGAGGAGAGUGGGAUUCCACGUGUAGCGGUGAAAUGCGUAGAGAUGUGGAGGAACACCAGUGGCGAAGGCGACUCUCUGGUCUGUAACUGACGCUGAGGCGCGAAAGCGUGGGGAGCAAACAGGAUUAGAUACCCCUGUAGUCCCUGUCUCUUAUAC